GACGAACGCUGGCGGCGUGCUUAACACAUGCAAGUCGAACGGAAAGGCCCUGCUUUUGUGGGGUGCUCGAGUGGCGAACGGGUGAGUAACACGUGAGUAACCUGCCCUUGACUUUGGGAUAACUUCAGGAAACUGGGGCUAAUACCGGAUAGGAGCUCCUGCUGCAUGGUGGGGGUUGGAAAGUUUCGGCGGUUGGGGAUGGACUCGCGGCUUAUCAGCUUGUUGGUGGGGUAGUGGCUUACCAAGGCUUUGACGGGUAGCCGGCCUGAGAGGGUGACCGGCCACAGUGGGACUGAGAGACGGCACAGAGUCCUACGGGAGGCAGCAGGGGGGAAUGUUGACCAAUGGGCGGAAGCCGGAUGCAGCAACGCCGCGUGCGGGAUGACGGCCUUCGGGUUGUAAACCGCUUUCGCCUGUGACGAAGCGUGAGUGACGGUAAUGGGUAAAGAAGCACCGGCUAACUACGUG
rnacentral:rRNA from 1 species